ensembl:snRNA U6 U6 spliceosomal RNA
GUGCUGGAUCUGGCAGCACAUGUAGUGAAGGUGGAGCUACUGGAAGAUUAGUAUGGCUCCUGCACAAGGAUGGCGUGCGAAUUCAAGAAGCAUUCCAUAUUUUU